rnacentral:rRNA from 1 species
AAGGUAGCAUAUAAUAAGCCUUUUAAUUGGUGGCUGGUAUGAAUGGUUUUAUGAGGAUAAAGCUGUCUUAAUUUAAUAAAUUAAAAAUUUACAUGAAAGUGAAGAGGCUUUUAUAGUUUAAAAAGACAAAAAGACCCUAUUGAGUUUUAUUGAUCUUAAAAUAUAUGAUAAUUAAUUUAAAGUUGAGGAUUUUUGUGUUUUAUAUAUUAAUUUUACUGGGGCGGUAAGGGAAAAAUGUAACCUCUUUUUUAUUUAAAACUAAUAAGUUUUUUAAUGUGCUUUUUAUUUUUUGAAAUUAAGAUUUAACUACCAUAGGGAUAACAGGCUGGUUCUUUCAGAGAGUUCAAAUUGACGAAAGAGUUUGGCACCUCGAUGUUGGCUUA